rnacentral:rRNA from 1 species
AAUUUUGGACAAUGGGGGCAACCCUGAUCCAGCCAUCCCGCGUGUGCGAUGAAGGNCUNNGGGUUNUNAAGCACUUUUGGCAGNNNNNAAACGGCUCUGACUAAUAUCUGGAACAACUGACGGUACCUGCAGAAUAAGCACCGGCUAACUACGCGCCAGCAGCCGCGGUAAUACGUAGGGUGCAAGCGUUAAUCGGAAUUACUGGGCGUAAAGCGUGCGCAGGCGGUUCGGAAAGAAAGAUGUGAAAUCCCAGGGCUUAACCUUGGAACUGCAUUUUUAACUACCGGGCUAGAGUGUGUCAGAGGGAGGUGGAAUUCCGCGUGUAGCAGUGAAAUGCGUAGAUAUGCGGAGGAACACCGAUGGCGAAGGCAGCCUCCUGGGAUAACACUGACGCUCAUGCACGAAAGCGUGGGGAGCAAACAGG